rnacentral:rRNA from 1 species
UCAAGCUGGAAAGAGCGCAAGGGGAAUGCCUUGGCAUCAGGAGCCGAAGAAGGACGUGACAAGCUGCGAAAAGCCUCGGGGAGGAGCAAAUAUCCAUUGAUCCGGGGAUAUCCGAAUGGGGCAACCCGGCUGGACAAUAUCCAGUCAUCCUGCGUUGAACAAAAUAGGCGUAGGAAGGGAACCGCCUGAACUGAAACAUCUAAGUAGGGCGAGGAAGAGACAUCAACCGAGAUUCCGCAAGUAGUGGCGAGCGAACGCGGAAGAGGCCAAACCGAGGGAUUUAUUCCUCGGGGUUGCGGACAGUCAUUUAGCGGAAGUUAUCUAGGAGAAGGGUCUGGGAAGGCCCGCCAUAGAGGGUGAGAGCCCCGUAUCCGAAAGAGAAGGCCGUGCGACUGAAUCCAGAGUACCGCGGGACACGUGAAACCCCGUGGGAAACAGGGGGGACCACCCUCCAAGCCUAAAUACUACCUGAUGACCGAUAGAGGAGCAGUACCGUGAGGGAAAGGUGAAAAGGACCCCGGGAGGGGAGUGAAAGAGAACCUGAAACCUUGUGCUUACAAGCUGUCAAAGCACGUUAACGUGUGAUGGCGUACUUUUUGUAGAACGGUCCGGCGAGUUAUAGUAACGAGCGAGCUUAAGGCAUUCAGUGCCGGAGGCGAAGCGAGAGCGAGUCUGAAUAGGGCGUAAAGUUCGUUGCCAUAGACCCGAAACCGGGUGACCUACCCAUGAGCAGGUUGAAGUGGGGGUGAAACCCCAUGGAGGACCGAACCGACCCCCGUUGCAAUGGUGGCGGAUGACUUGUGGGUAGCGGUGAAAUUCCAAUCGAACUCGGAGAUAGCUGGUUCUCCCCGAAAUAGCUUUAGGGCUAGCGUUAUGUUAGAUUACCGGAGGUAAAGCACUGAAUGGUAGCGGGGCCGAUAAGGUUACCAACGCCUAUCAAACUAAGAAUGCCGGCUAAUUGAUGCAUAGCAGUCAGACAGUGUGAGAUAAGUUUCAUUGUCAAAAGGGAAACAGCCCAGACCUACAGCUAAGGUCCCGAAUAGAUGCUAAGUGGAAAACGAUGUGGAGUUGCGAAAACAACCAGGAUGUUGGCUUAGAAGCAGCCACUCAUUAAAAGAGUGCGUAAUAGCUCACUGGUCGAGUGACUCUGCGCGGAAAAUAUAACGGGGCUAAGCGUAACACCGAAGCUUGGGCUGCACAGCAAUGUGCGGGGUAGGGGAGCGUCGAAUAUGGGGUGAAGUCGCAGCGGAAGCAGCGGUGGACUGUAUUCGAGUGAGAAUGCCGGAAUGAGUAGCGAGAAUUAUGUGGGAAUCAUAAUGGCCGAAAAUCUAAGGUUUCUUGGGGAAGGUUCGUCCGCCCAAGGUAAGCCGGGAGCUAAGGCGAGGCCGAAAGGCGUAGUCGAUGCACAUACGGUAGAAAUUCCGUAGCCACCGAACUUUAAGUCAGAGGGACACUUUUGGAUAGCGGAACCCGGGCGUUGGUUGACCCGGGCGAAAGGGAGCGAAAAUAUAGUAGCGAAGUCCGCGAUGCUGAGAGGCGAGAAAAGCUCUGAUGGAUACUAAGGUGCCCGUACCGCAAACCGACACAGGUAGAUGAGGAGAGAAUCCUAAGGCCAACGGGAGAAGGGUUGUUAAGGAACUCGGCAAAAUGACCCCGUAACUUCGGGAUAAGGGGAGCCUCCUACGGGAGGCCGCAGCGAAUAGGCCCAAGCGACUGUUUACCAAAAACACAGGUCUAUGCUAAAUCGAAAGAUGACGUAUAUGGGCUGACGCCUGCCCGGUGCCGGAAGGUUAAGAGGAGAUGUCAGCGCAAGCGAAGCAUUGAAUUGAAGCCCCGGUAAACGGCGGCCGUAACUAUAACGGUCCUAAGGUAGCGAAAUUCCUUGUCAGGU